CAAUAGCGUAUAUUAAAGUUGUUGCAGUUAAAAAGCUCGUAGUUGGAUUUCUGGAUGGAGCGACCGGUCGGGCAUUAAUUUGUCUGCACUGGAGUCGGUUCCGUCCAUCCUCUUGGAAAGUGCGUCGGGCAUUAAGUUGUUUGGCGUAUGAUCCAAGUCGUUUACUGUGAAAAAAUUAGAGUGUUUAAAGCAGGCCUUCGCCUUGAAUACAUUAGCAUGGAAUAAUAAGAUAGGACUUUGGUCUAUUUUGUUGGUUUGCAGACCGAAGUAAUGAUUAAUAGGGAUAGUUGGGGGUAUUUAUAUUCCGAUGUCGGAGGUGAAAUUCUUAGAUUUUCGGAAGAUAAACUUAUGCGAAAGCAUUUACCAAGGAUGUUUUCAUUAA
rnacentral:rRNA from 1 species